AGUGAACGCUGGCGGUAGGCCUAACACAUGCCAGUCGAACGGCAGCACAGUAAGAGCUUGCUCUUACGGGUGGCGAGUGGCGGACGGGUGAGGAAUACAUCGGAAUCUACUUUUUCGUGGGGGAUAACGUAGGGAAACUUACGCUAAUACCGCAUACGACCUACGGGUGAAAGCAGGGGAUCUUCGGACCUUGCGCGAUUGAAUUAGCCGAUGUCGGAUUAGCUAGUUGGCGGGGUAAAGGCCCACCAAGGCGACGAUCCGUAGCUGGUCUGAGAGGAUGAUCAGCCACACUGGAACUGAGACACGGUCCAGACUCCUACGGGAGGCAGCAGUGGGGAAUAUUGGACAAUGGGCGCAAGCCUGAUCCAGCCAUACCGCGUGGGUGAAGAAGGCCUUCGGGUUGUAAAGCCCUUUUGUUGGGAAAGAAAAGCAGCAGGUUAAUACCACGCUGUUCUGACGGUACCCAAAGAAUAAGCACCGGCUAACUUCGUG
rnacentral:rRNA from 1 species